GCACUGCCCGGUAGCUAAAUGCGGAAGAGAUAAGUGCUGAAAGCAUCUAAGCACGAAACUUGCCCCGAGAUGAGUUCUCCCUGAGACUUAAAGUCUCCUGAAGGAACGUUGAAGACGACGACGUUGAUAGGCCGGGUGUGUAAGCGCAGCGAUGCGUUGAGCUAACCGGUACUAAUGAACCGUGAGGCUUAACCUUACAACGCCGAAGAUGUUUUG
rnacentral:rRNA from 1 species